rnacentral:rRNA from 1 species
AGCGAACGCUGGCGGCAGGCCUAACUCAUGCAAGUCGAACGAACCUUUCGGGGUUAGUGGCGGACGGGUGAGUAACACGUGGGAACGUGCCUUUAGGUUCGGAAUAACUCAGGGAAACUUGUGCUAAUACCGAAUGUGCCCUUCGGGGGAAAGAUUUAUCGCCUUUAGAGCGGCCCGCGUCUGAUUAGCUAGUUGGUUGAGGUAAUGGCUCACCAAGGCGACGAUCAGUAGCUGGUCUGAGAGGAUGAUCAGCCACAUUGGGACUGAGACACGGCCCAAACUCCUACGGGAGGCAGCAGUGGGGAAUCUUGCGCAAUGGGCGAAAGCCUGACGCAGCCAUGCCGCGUGAAUGAUGAAGGUCUUAGGAUUGUAAAAUUCUUUCACCGGGGACGAUAAUGACGGUACCCGGAGAAGAAGCCCCGGCUAACUUCGUG